rnacentral:rRNA from 1 species
UACGAAGGGUGCAAGCGUUGUUCGGAAUCAUUGGGCGUAAAGCGCGCGCAGGCGGUUCAGCAAGUCAGAUGUGAAAUCUCGGAGCUCAACUUCGAAACUGCGUCUGAAACUGCUAGUCUAGAAUGUCGGAGGGGGCAGGGGAAUUUCACGUGUAGGGGUAAAAUCCGUAGAGAUGUGAAGGAACACCGGAGGCGAAGGCGCCUGCCUGGACGACUAUUGACGCUGAGGAGCGAAAGCGUGGGGAGCGAACAGG